CUUCUCCCUGCCUGACUAUACCACCUGUCUCAUACCCAGCCAUCUGCAACCUUCGGUCUCUCUGCUGAUUAAAAUGCCUGUGCUGCUAAUUUCUGCCCUGCAACAUCUGACAACUGCCCCAGUCACCUACACCUCUGCUUGACGCAUCGCUCUGGUGUUGCAUUGCUCACGACCCAGUAGACAGGCUUGCCGCGCUUGUAGACCACGGACUGAUUUUCAGGAAGGUUUAUGAAGCACAAACCACACUUCAGCUUUCCUUUUCAAUUAUCUAGAAUCUUCCAGUGUGACAAAUAGUUUCUGCAGGGUCACAGCAGAGGGAAGAGAGAAAUGGGCGAUGUUAGAUUAAUUUCCAGAGAAAGUAAUGAUGUCAAACUUUAUACAGCAUUUCCCUACUCUGCUGGGUUUGAAAGUACAUUUAAAAAAAAAGAAAAAAGUAUUUUGUACAGAACAAUUUUUACUUUUUCUCACAAUACAAAGAAUGUUUAACUUCCAUAUUAUUGUGACCCCCCCCCCCCCCUCCGUGGCAUCUUUAAAGGGAGAUGAAAAUUAAUCUUUUAUGAUUCAAAUAAAGCAUUUAUCUCUAUUAUCAAA